CCAGUGUAGCGGUGAAAUGCGUAGAUAUUGGAAGGAAUACCAGUGGCGAAGGCGGCCGCCUGGUCAGAGACUGACGCUGAGGUACGAAAGCGUAGGGAGCAAACAGGAUUAGAUACCCUGGUAGUCCACGCCGUAAACGAUGUCAACUAGUUGUUCGUGUCAUUAAGACGUGAGUAACGCAGCUAACGCACUAAGUUGACCGCCUGGGGAGUACGGCCGCAAGGUUAAAACUCAAAUGAAUUGACGGGGGCCCGCACAAGCGGUGGAGCAUGUGGUUUAAUUCGAUGCAACGCGAAGAACCUUCCAUCCCCUGACAUCCAGUGAAUUUUCCAGAGAUGGAUUAGUUCCUUCGGGAACACUGAGACAGGUGCUGCAUGGCCGUCGUCAGCUCGUGUUGUGAGAUGGUGGGUUAAGUCCCGCAACGAGCGCCACCCUUCUCCUUUGUUUCCAGCCCGUUAGGGUGGGAACUCUGGGGAGACUGCCGGUGACAAACCGGAGGAAGGGGGGGAGGACGUCAAGUCAUCAUGGCCCUUACGGGCUGGGCUACACACGUGCUACAAUGGUGCAUACAGAGGGCAGCAAACCAGCGAGGGGGAGCGAAUCUCAUAAAGUGCGUCGUAGUCCGGAUUGGAGUCUGCAACUCGACUCCAUGAAGUCGGAAUCGCUAGUAAUCGUGGAUCAGAAUGCCGCGGUG
rnacentral:rRNA from 1 species